AAAAUUUUAAGUUAAAAAAACUCUUAAUAUUCAAAAUUAAUAAUAUAUUUUUGUAAUAUAAAUUUUA
rnacentral:tRNA from 1 species